rnacentral:rRNA from 1 species
GACGAACGCUGGCGGCGUGCCUAAUACAUGCAAGUCGAGCGAGCUUGCCUAGAUGAAUUUGGUGCUUGCACCAAAUGAAACUAGAUACAAGCGAGCGGCGGACGGGUGAGUAACACGUGGGUAACCUGCCCAAGAGACUGGGAUAACACCUGGAAACAGAUGCUAAUACCGGAUAACAACACUAGACGCAUGUCUAGAGUUUAAAAGAUGGUUCUGCUAUCACUCUUGGAUGGACCUGCGGUGCAUUAGCUAGUUGGUAAGGUAACGGCUUACCAAGGCAAUGAUGCAUAGCCGAGUUGAGAGACUGAUCGGCCACAUUGGGACUGAGACACGGCCCAAACUCCUACGGGAGGCAGCAGUAGGGAAUCUUCCACAAUGGACGCAAGUCUGAUGGAGCAACGCCGCGUGAGUGAAGAAGGGUUUCGGCUCGUAAAGCUCUGUUGGUAGUGAAGAAAGAUAGAGGUAGUAACUGGCCUUUAUUUGACGGUAAUUACUUAGAAAGUCACGGCUAACUACGUGCCAGCAGCCGCGGUAAUACGUAGGUGGCAAGCGUUGUCCGGAUUUAUUGGGCGUAAAGCGAGUGCAGGCGGUUCAAUAAGUCUGACGUGAAAGCCUUCGGCUCAACCGGAGAAUUGCAUCAGAAACUGUUGAACUUGAGUGCAGAAGAGGAGAGUGGAACUCCAUGUGUAGCGGUGGAAUGCGUAGAUAUAUGGAAGAACACCAGUGGCGAAGGCGGCUCUCUGGUCUGCAACUGACGCUGAGGCUCGAAAGCAUGGGUAGCGAACAGG